rnacentral:rRNA from 1 species
GCUCCCACGUCCAAGGAUGGCAGCAGGCGCGAAAAUUGUCCACUCUUUUGAGAGGAGACAGUUAUGAAACGUGAGUAGAAGGGUCGAGUGUAAAAACCUUGACGUGAAGCAAUUGGAGGGCAAGUUUUGGUGCCAGCAGCCGCGGUAAUUCCAACUCCAAGAGUGUCUAUGGUGGAUGCUGCAGUUAAAGGGUCCGUAGUCGUAGAUGCAAUUAAAAGGUGGUGUUAAAAGCCAUUGAGUUUGUUGAGAGUAGCGGAACGGAUAGGGAGCAUGGUAUAGGUGGGCAAAGAAUGAAAUCUCAAGACCCCACCUGGACCAACGGAGGCGAAAGCGAUGCUCUUAGACGUAUCUGGGGAUCAAGGACGAAGGCUAGAGUAUCGAAAGUGAUUAGACACCGCUGUAGUUCUA